GAAUAAUACGUACAAUAAGUAUACUCUGGCUACCGGCGGAGUUUCAGUUGCUAAUCUCAGUAAAUCAGUCACGUUCUCUGGUAACUUUUCAAUACCCUGUGAAAGAUGAGAAGUUUGCGAUGAAGACGAUAUUGAAAAAGCUGAUGGAAGAUAACGACGACGAAGGUUGAUGUCUUAGAUGAGAAAUUAUCCUAUAUACGAAAGUCAAUCCAGCAGCACGGGAUGUGAGACUGACUACAGGGUCAACUAUAAUAGCAAUAUCUUAUAGAUUGCGUCAGCUUUUAUACGGUUUCAGUAUUUCAGUCGUAGAAGAUCCAAACAUGAAAGAAAAAGUUGCUGCAUUUUGCACUGAAGCUGGAAGAUGCUCUUGAAAGAAAUGAAUUGAAAUUUUCCAAGGAAGUACCUACAGAAACUAUCUCACCGCCAGAUUCACGAGCCUGUCUUGGAUUAAAAUGAUCUUCGAGUUCGAGUAUAGAUUUUAAAUCGUGUGUUGAGAUGCGAUGAUUUGUGGGAAUGUUGAGAAGCGUUUUAGUGGUGAGGAAAUUGGUGAAGGGAAACGCGACGACAUUGAGUAGAAAGCUACAGAUUUCUUCGUUAUUUGAUGAAAAAUGUUCGUGGUCAAUCUCAAGGAUCAAAAGCACUAAAAUAUGUUCAACCAAAGAUGAAUUUUUAAAGUGAGUUGAUUUUGUAUGUAAUUUUUAUGUUAAUGUUCAACACAAUCAUACAAAUUAUUGAAAGGGAGAAAAUGAAAAAAAUUUGAGAAGACGGGACCGAUUGAAUUUUGAAGAUCACCCAUCUCCCCC